rnacentral:rRNA from 1 species
ACGACUAACUCCCAACCCCUGUGAACAUACCAAUUGUUGCCUCGGCGGAUCAGCCCGCUCCCGGUAAAACGGGACGGCCCGCCAGAGGACCCCUAAACUCUGUUUCUAUAUGUAACUUCUGAGUAAAACCAUAAAUAAAUCAAAACUUUCAACAACGGAUCUCUUGGUUCUGGCAUCGAUGAAGAACGCAGCAAAAUGCGAUAAGUAAUGUGAAUUGCAGAAUUCAGUGAAUCAUCGAAUCUUUGAACGCACAUUGCGCCCGCCAGUAUUCUGGCGGGCAUGCCUGUUCGAGCGUCAUUUCAACCCUCAAGCCCAGCUUGGUGUUGGGACUCGCGAGUCAAAUCGCGUUCCCCAAAUUGAUUGGCGGUCACGUCGAGCUUCCAUAGCGUAGUAGUAAAACCCUCGUUACUGGUAAUCGUCGCGGCCACGCCGUUAAACCCCAACUUCUGAAUGUUGACCUCGGAUCAGGUAGGAAUACCCGCUGAACUUAAGCAUAUCAAUAAGCGGAGGAAAAA